AUGGAUCCAACUCCAUCUGGCGGCGGGCACAGAUCUAGAUCCAUCCGGCGGAGAGCCAACGUUAGUCUCAUGUGGAUGGUCAGCGACAUUGCAGAGCUGAACAGGGACAUGCCCUUCAUGCUCGACGAUGGCAGCGGCAACAUUGAUUUCAUCAGAUGCAGAGGUGAUGGAUUUUGUACUAUUGUAUUUCCGAAAAUGCAUGUACACGGAAUUGCUAUCUCAAGGACUAAUGGAAAUGAAGAUUGCGCGCUUUUGUUUAAGAUUACUGCUAGAUGGUAUAUUAUUCUCGCUUCAGAUUUAGGAGUGUUCAAUUUGCUACCUAGUGCAAUUGUCCAGUCUCAAAAUUUCAUUGUUAUUACUAGCAUAUUCUAUAUUUCUUGGUAUUGUUCACACCACACCAUUGCUGAAAGCCUACUAGAAAGAAUAAUUAAUCAAUGGUGUGCUAAAUUAAACUAA
rnacentral:rRNA from 1 species